AUAGGUGUGCUGGCUGCAGCCACUUCCCUCACCCACACUCUUUAUCUCUCACUCUCCAGCCGCUGACAGCCCAUUUUAUUGUCAAUCUCUGUCUCCUUCCCAGGAAUCUGAGAAUUGCUCUCACACACCAACCCUGCAACAUCCGUGGAGAAAACUCUCAGCAGCAACUCCUUUAAAAUACCGUCAUUUCAAACCAUUGUGGUCUUUAAGCAACAACAGCAGCACAAAAAACCCCAACCAAACAAAACUCUUGACAGAAGCUGUGACAACCAGAGAGGAUGCCUCAUAAAGGGGGAAGACUUUAACUAGGGGCGCGCAGAUGUGUGAGGCCUUUUAUUGUGAGAGUGGACAGACAUCCGAGAUUUCAGAGCCCCAUAUUCGAGCCCCGUGGAAUCCCGCGGCCCCCAGCCAGAGCCAGCAUGCAGAACAGUAAGUGCCUCUGGUCUUCUUGGGACUUCGGGCUCGGGGUGCGCGGACCCGAGGGUCA
rnacentral:sRNA from 1 species